rnacentral:rRNA from 1 species
AUUGAACGCUGGCGGCAGGCCUAACACAUGCAAGUCGAGCGGACGAAGGGAGCUUGCUCCUGGAUUCAGCGGCGGACGGGCGAGUAAUGCCUAGGAAUCUGCCUGGCAGUGGGGGAUAACGUCCGGAAACGGGAGCUAAUACCGCAUACGUCCUGAGGGAGAAAGUGGGGGAUCUUCGGACCUCACCCUAUCAGAUGAGCCUAGGUCGGAUUAGCUAGUUGGUGGGGUAAAGGCCUACCAAGGCGACGAUCCGUAACUGGUCUGAGAGGAUGAUCAGUCACACUGGAACUGAGACACGGUCCAGACUCCUACGGGAGGCAGCAGUGGGGAAUAUUGGGCAAUGGGCGAAAGCCUGAUCCAGCCAUGCCGCGUGUGUGAAGAAGGUCUUCGGAUUGUAAAGCACUUUAAGUUGGGAGGAAGGGCAGUAAGUUAAUACCUUGCUGUUUUGACGUUACCAACAGAAUAAGCACCGGCUAACUUCGUG